GCGUCAGUAGUGCAACGGUUUAGAGCACUCGCUCCCUGUUAGAGUGAGGUGCGGGUUGGAGUACCGCCCGACGCA